CUGUCUCGUGCGAGCCAACGUCGGUUCGUCGACGACGUUCGGCUGUCGCGUCAGGUGGCUCGUGACUUCGGUCGGGAGCGUUAUAGUCGCGUCAGCAAGGGCGUCGAGACGGACCGAGGAGACGAAAUGUCGGUGGCGAACCGCGCUCGCUUUCGAGCGGGCUAGAGUCGUUCGACGCGCGUCGUGCGUCGCGUCUUGGACUGCGUGCAGUGCUCGAUGCGAUCGCGCGGGCGCGUCGGAUCGUCGUCAUAAGCGGUUGUCGGUCGUUGGCGGUGAAAUGGUCUCAUCCGACCCGUCUUGAAACACGGACCAAGGAGUCUAACAUGUGUGCGAGUCGUGGGGUGGCAAACCCCGUGGCGCAAUGAAAGUGAGUUUGGAGACGAGAAGCGGCGUCGCGACGUCGUUGCAUCGUCGGCCGACCUGUCCUGAUUUCAGAAAGGUUUGAGUAGGAGCACGCCUGUUGGGACCCGAAAGAUGGUGAACUAUGCCUGAAUAGGGUGAAGCCAGAGGAAACUCUGGUGGAGGCUCGUAGCGAUUCUGACGUGCAAAUCGAUCGUCCAAUUUGGGUAUAGGGGCGAAAGACUAAUCGA
rnacentral:rRNA from 1 species